AUUAACAAGUAGAAACUGCCGUUUCUCACCUUACAGUACUGCUAGUAAGGUAAAAUUUUGGUUUACAAUGAUUGUAAUAACAGGACGGCGUUUGCUGUCCUUUUUAUUUUAU
rfam:Clostridium sulfidigenes strain 113A c64, whole genome shotgun sequence.